rnacentral:rRNA from 1 species
UACGUAGGGUGCAAGCGUUAAUCGGAAUUACUGGGCGUAAAGCGUGCGCAGGCGGUUCGCUAAGACCGAUGUGAAAUCCCCGGGCUUAACCUGGGAACUGCAUUGGUGACUGGCGGGCUAGAGUAUGGCAGAGGGGGGUAGAAUUCCACGUGUAGCAGUGAAAUGCGUAGAGAUGUGGAGGAAUACCGAUGGCGAAGGCAAUCCCCUGGGCCUGCACUGACGCUCAUGCACGAAAGCGUGGGGAGCAAACAGG